rnacentral:rRNA from 1 species
ACGAACGCUGGCGGCGUGCCUAAUACAUGCAAGUCGAGCGGAGUUUAUCCUUCGGGGUAAGCUUAGCGGCGGACGGGUGAGUAACACGUAGGCAACCUACCCUCUAGACUGGGAUAACUACCGGAAACGGUAGCUAAUACCGGAUAAUUCCUUGACCCUCCUGGGUUUGGGAUGAAAGGCGGAGCAAUCUGCUGUUAGAGGAUGGGCCUGCGGCGCAUUAGCUAGUUGGUGGGGUAACGGCCUACCAAGGCGACGAUGCGUAGCCGACCUGAGAGGGUGAACGGCCACACUGGGACUGAGACACGGCCCAGACUCCUACGGGAGGCAGCAGUAGGGAAUCUUCCGCAAUGGGCGAAAGCCUGACGGAGCAACGCCGCGUGAGUGAUGAAGGUUUUCGGAUCGUAAAGCUCUGUUGCCAGGGAAGAACGUCCGGUAGAGUAACUGCUGCCGGAGUGACGGUAC